rnacentral:rRNA from 1 species
UACAGGGGGUGCAAACGUUGCUCGGAAUUAUUGGGCGUAAAGCGCGCGUAGGCGGCUACUUAAGUCGGAUGUGAAAGCCCUUGGCUCAACUGAGGAAGUGCACCCGAAACUGAGUGGCUUGAGUACUAAAGAGGGUCGCGGAAUUCCCGGUGUAGAGGUGAAAUUCGUAGAUAUCGGGAGGAGCACCGGUGGCGAAGGCGGCGACCUGGGUAGAUACUGACGCUGAGGCGCGAAAGCGUGGGGAGCAAACAGG